ACUGCUAGAGACUGAAACUGUGGAAAGCAAAACCAUGGACAAGGAGGAUCUACUGCAUUGGCAGAGCAGCCACAUAGGACAGUGGACCAUGUCCUUUACCUUGAUACGAUUUUAAUCAUAGAUACAGGAAUGGGUUUCCCUUAUUGUAAAACUGCAACGCAGGGGAAGCAAGUCUGUGAAGGACUUAGAUAUAGCUUACAGAUGUUGAAGGAUAAAGUGAAGGGAAGUGAGCUGCUGGUUUUCUUUGGUCUUUUAUCAAUGUUUUGGACAGGAACCUUCUUUGGAAACAAACCUACUACGGUCCAGGUCCAGCUGGCGCACAACGUACUGUCUGUUCAGGAGAAAAUGAUGUGUAAAUCAGGGAAGAAUAAAGAAUGGAAGUAUUUGGGGGAAAACAUUAGACAUCUUUGAAAAGAUCCACCAUUCUGGGCCAGCAAAGAGAAGCCAAAGGUUAAGUUAAGGAUGCAGUUACUAUACAGCUACUUUGAGCUUCUCCUAAUA